ACCGAAAUAGCUCAGUUGGCAGAGCGUUAGACUAUAGAUCGAAACGUCCCUGGUUCGAUCCCGGAAUUCGGCA
rnacentral:tRNA from 1 species